CAACCCCAAAGUUAAUACCAUCCCCAGUGGUGAAAAGUUAAAAACUUUUCCUUGAAGAUCAGAAAAAAGAUCAAGAUGUCCACCCUCCCCACCUUUAUUCAUUAUAGUACUAUGAUUUUUAGCCAGAGAAGUUGGGGGAACGGGAGGUAAAAAGCAACCAUAUAAAAAAUUUGGACUAUAUGAUCUAUUUUCCUAUUAAUACAGUGAUACAAAUCAGGACUCCAAAUAAGUGUUUCCACUACAACGCUUCUAGCAUUUAUAUAUGUAAAUAUUCUGGAACAUAUGCAUGUUGUAAUUCAACAUUUUUUACUCAAAUUUAUGUAGAAAAAAUACACAAUUACAUUUCUUGUGUUAUACUGUUCCAGAAAUGGUUCCAAAUGACAAACCUUCAGGUAUCCACACCCUCAUGUAGUCCCCUCUGACUACAAGGGCUUUGCUCUUGGACUUGCUUUGGUCAAGAGGACAUCAAUAAAUGUGAUGCAAACAUACAUUUAAGAAGUACCUGCUACUAGAGCCUGCAUUCUUGGAAGCAUGUAUAUUAGGAUGAAGCCUGGGGCUAUUCUGUUGGAGAAAAAACAUCUAGCCUAGAGUCAGCAUACACAGGACAUGUAGCAAACCCAUCUUGAACCAACCAGCCUCAGUCAAGGUGCAAGGUGCCUACAACCUCAUCCGUAUUCCAGACAACACCAGCAGAGGAAUUUCCCAACUGUGCUCAGCCCACAUUCUGAUCCAUAGAAAGAUGAUUAAAUUAAAUGAUUCUUUUAAAGCCAAUACAUUUUUGUUGAUUUCUUACACAGGAAGGGCUGAUUAAGCAUAUGAAAGCCAAUAUUUUUACCCAUUUGAAGAGUGCAAGAGACCUUUUUCGAUUACAUGCGAAAUUUACUAAGUAGAAAUUUAGAAUCAAAAGUAGAAGUUUUGAAAACCACAGAAAAAUCAACUUAAUGAACUUCAAUGUAGUUGAAGCUAUGUGCAUAAAACAAAAACAAUUUCCUGAAGAUUAAAAGAACAUGUCUUAAGUUUCUUACAUCAUAACAUUCUGAUACUUACAUGGGAACACUGUACAGUGCUUUAGUUUUUGUGGGUUUUGAGCAAAUGUCAUGCAGUCUGAUUUUCCCAUUUCAAAUGAUGUAAAAUAGGAUUAUUAUUUUUGUGCACAAUUUAUGAUUUUUAGGAACAGAUAACUGACAUUAGGGAAAAACACUUGUUAUCAAACCUUUAUAUUCAGAUAAUCUCCAGAAAGUGUUAGGAUUAAAAAUAGAUAUGGAUGUUUAAAAUAAGGCAUUGUAAAGCAAUGUGUGUAAUUUGACUUCAAUGUAACGAAAUGAUCUCAAGUUGACUUCACUGUCACAAAAAUUAUUGUAAAAACAAAUGCUUGUUUUGUGUUAAUUGUGGCAAAAUUGAAAAUACAAGAGCAUAAAGAUCUCAGGAUGGAUGGAUCACAAGCAUAUCUCUAGAUGCCAAAUUGGGUGAUAGACUAGCUUUAAGAGAUCUCAAGCUCUAAAAACAAUCACUGAGGGGAAAUUUCUAAAGUAGAAGUGUGAAAAUUAAAAAUAAAUAAAAUAAAAUAAAAAUAGAAGAGUGUUUAGAGAGCAGUGUAAAGAGAUUGUCUCAGGUAUGAUAGGGUAUCAAUGUGCCCCAAUCCACAUCUUCAAGACCCCUCCAAUAAGUAACAUUUUCUAUGUUCUUAUCUAUCAUUAUCAGUCAGACUCACCUCUCCCUUCUGUAAAUUGGUUCAAACCUUCCAAUAUCAUCAAGUCAUUUACAGCUUCCAGAAAAUGUAUAUCACUCAGCUCUUGUUCACUGCAGGCAAUAGGAUCAAUAAUUGCUUGGGACAUGGAAAGCCAGGGUCUUGUGCUUUCUGGAACUCUUUUGGCUCUGCUCUGAAAUGUUAGUGAGAGGGUUCAGGCCUUAAAAGUGUUCUUUCAUGUCAAAAGUCUAUUUAUAAGGUGCGUUCCUUCAAACUUUGUAAACCUCCUUUACUUUAAAGAAAACCAGACCAUCAUCUAGUACCCAAAUUUCUCUCCUAGAAGCCACUGUCCUGGGGAACUAGGUCCUGUAUGAACUUCUGUAAACUCAAACCAGGAAUGCUAGGCAGGCUGCACAGUACCAGAGGGGAACAGAAAUUUCACUUGCUGGAUAGACACCAAGAAACCCCAUAAAUACAACUGCCAUAUAGUAACUUGUGGUCUAAACACACUUCACAAUUAUUUCUGUGUGAAUCCAGGGACAUUUCCCUAGUACUGUUAAUACACUCAUCAACUUACACCUGGGUGAAGUGAAUGUUAUUUAGGCUAGUAACAUUGCCCAUAUCCUUCAGUGUCAGAGCUGUAAUGUGAAGUCACACUACAGACCUCCCACAUGCACACUUUCUGAAAAAUCCUUCCCCGAUUCAUUUGCUCAGCUUCAGGAACCAGGUUUUGUACAACUAGACAAAAGCGCCUGGUGUCCUGGCAGCGCACCUUCUUCUGAUAAAGCAAUCACUGAAAGCACAGCUCAAGCGACUCCUUUCACAGACCCAGAUCUGCACACCCCAAUGCUAGUGUUGGCCACCUGGCCUGGCCUGGACCCUCAGCUCACAAUGGCAUGUCAGGUCUGGCCCAAACAAGAUCCACCAAAGUUUCUACUUCACCAAGUGGUGGGACACAGAUACCACUCACCAGGGUUCCCUGAGGUCCUCAGGGGCUCCUCUUCCAUUCUCACACUUAACGUUAGAGACACAAAACCCAAACCCACAGCCUACAGAGCAGCGUCAGAGAGCUGCAGGGUCUGAAAUGUCCUGGCAGAAGAUGGUGAGAAUGGAUGAAGCAGUACAUGUGCAGAAGAAAUACGAAAGAUCUUUUUCAUGGUCUUCUGCUGGUGAUGUUACUGAAGAGAACACAUUUCCACAGGCCUCUGCUCUGGUCUGUACUCACAUGACAGCAUGUGAAAUUCUGCUUCUUUAUUAAAUCCUGGUUUGACAACCUGACACAUUGUGGGUUGCAUGGGGGAAAUUUGAAUGUGGGUAAAGUAGUUGAUGAUAUCUAACAUUAACUUUUUUUUUAUUUGUUUAAAGGUAUUGUGGUUGUAAAACCCACAUGUAUUUUUUUUUUUGCAGUCUAUUCUAAUGCAAAAAAGAAGUCUCCAGUUUUUCUCUUAGUUUGUUAACAAUCAGGACAGGAAGUCCCCUGACCCAUCUUAGCUGAUCAAAGGUGAUAAGAGCCCCAUUUCAGGAGGAGCUCUGCCCCAUGCCAGAGAGGAAGGAAUGCUGCACAGAGAGGUCAAAAAGAACCUGAACAAAUAGGUCUUUUUGGAUUUCCCCACCUAGUCUGUUAGUGUUAGAUCAUACCCUUUUGGUCCAAUCACAUUUCUACAUGGUUGUCCAUGCUUCAAUCCUACCUACAUAAUGAAGCUUCUAUAACAACUGAAGAACACAGGAUUAGAAGAGCUUCCAGAUAGCUGAACACGUGGAAGUUCCUGGAUGGUGACCAGCUGGGGAGGUCAUGGAGGCUCCACACCCCAUCACCCAUACCUCCUCCUAUGCAUCUCUUUGUCUCUGUGCUUUGUGAUAUUCUUUAUAAUAAACCAAUUAGUGUACA